AUUGAACGCUGGCGGCAUGCUUUACACAUGCAAGUCGAACGGCAGCGGGGGCUUCGGCCUGCCGGCGAGUGGCGAACGGGUGAGUAAUGCAUCGGAACGUGCCCAUGUCGUGGGGGAUAACGUAGCGAAAGCUACGCUAAUACCGCAUACGCCCCGAGGGGGAAAGCGGGGGAUUCUUCGGAACCUCGCGCGAUUGGAGCGGCCGAUGUCGGAUUAGCUAGUAGGUGAGGUAAAGGCUCACCUAGGCGACGAUCCGUAGCGGGUCUGAGAGGAUGAUCCGCCACACUGGGACUGAGACACGGCCCAGACUCCUACGGGAGGCAG
rnacentral:rRNA from 1 species